rnacentral:lncRNA from 1 species
GUCUAACCUACCCUGGCAUGGACUGUGUUGCUGCUAAAGUCUGGAGGUGCUGGGACCAGACAGCUCAGCAGUAUUGAAAAGGGGGACAGACCAACUUUAAACCACGUUUUGAAGUCCCUAUGAAACGAAAAGACUGCUGAACUGGAUCCAAACACUGUUCUCAGUUACACGGGAGAAAACAAAAUCUGGCCCGUAACAGGAGGAACCAUUUCAUAGGAAAAGUGCUUUUUCACCCACAGACUUUCAGUAGUAGCUUACUGGGAUUUUGGCACAAGCGCUCCAAGUCAAUUUUAUUCUUAAUUCUUUCUAUCCCACAGGGGUUGUAUUUUUUUCACUCGAUUGGGAGCUACAUUUCCAUGACUACACUUCUUGAAAUGCUCUUUAAAGUGUUCAAAAUUAAAUGGCUCUCAUGAUUUUUUAGCAAAAGCCAAUUCUAACACGAUAGCCGAAUCUAAAGCAACUAUGACUGGAAGCGUUCCUCUCCUCUAAUCCUGAGAAGAUGUGAAUUUCCCUGCCGCUGAGUCAGCUGACACGAAUAGACUGGCUAGAAGGACCAAGGCAAAGAUGAAAUAAGGUGUUCUUCAGUCAUAAACUCAUCCUUUACAUACGUAUCAAUGGAGAUAUUAAUCUUCAGUGGUGGAGCAAAAGGAAACUCCCACAAGCAUCCUUCUCAUAGCAGACUGUAGCUCUCAUUUCCUGGGUGAUAACUGGCCACAGUUUUGAUGCACAAAUCCCAAAUGAUGCCCCUCCCUGAAGGAGCCUGUAAAAAUACCCUUCUGCAAAGAACUCUUACUGUCAUUAUUUUUCACAGUAACAACAGAAGGCAAAAGAACUCUUAUUGUUUUGUUAAGCUUAUAUGAAAUAUAAACUAAUUAUAUGUCUCAAAAACCAUUUCACGGUGAAAAGGGCAUCCAUGUCCAAAAAAUACACAGAACUUCUGACCUAGGAAUGUAUUUAUACAACAUCACAAAGCUUUUCCAUGGCAACGGGCCUUGUCAAGCUGUCACAAACACCAUAAUGACAGACUUCCAAGCAGUUCCCAAAUAAAUGUGAUUCUAACAUGUAAAUGGAGAAAAAUGCUUUUCAGAAGUGAUGCGUAGUUCUAAGCACCGUGCAAGUAGACGGACUAAGAACUGAUUUUGCACUGCUAAAACUAGCAGGUGAUUGACUACCACGAUUACUAAUACUAAAGCCCAAACACUUGCAAAAAAAAAAGGAGAAUAAAGGCUAGUUCUUGAGACCUUUUGUCA